UCCAAAGUAACCCACUAGAAAACCAUCCAUUCAAUUCUAACCUGACAUUACAGAGAAAGAAGGACAAACCAGCAACUGAAAUAGAAUAGUUGUUGUGCAGAAUUGCCUAGGGGCAUUAGAUGGGGCGUAUGUGAAGGUUCGUGCAAGACGAGAAGAUCAACCUAAAUAUCGUAACAGAAAGGGUGAAGUAUCUAUCAGCAUUUUGGGUGUCUGUAGUCCAGACAUGGAGUUCAUUUAUUGUCUAGCUGGUUGGGAAGGUUCUGUUCACGAUGGAAGGGUUUUACAGGAUGCUUUGUCUAGGCCUAAUGGGUUAAGGGUACCCAAAGGUAAACUCAGACAAAAAGUUUAGACUUUGUGCAAAAGAAGUUCAUGAUUAAUUGAAACUAACAACCUAAAACUUCUUUCAACUAGGAUCAUUCUAUCUGUGUGAUGCCGGAUAUACAAACUGUGAAGAGUAUUUGACACCCUUUACGGGAUCAAACGGACCUAAGUAGAUGAGAUGGUUGUGAUGUUUCUACACACUUUGGGGCACAAUACCAAAAAUAGGAUAUUGGAAAGGAAGUUUGGCCGAUCAGGGAAAACAGUGUGUGCGGUCAUUCACGAGGUCCUCAUAUCUAUUCUUAAGAUGCACCAUGCCUUAUAUCGCAAAGCCAUUCCUGUGCCGGAACACUGUCCAAAUGUAACCUGGAAACAUUUCAAGGUGUGUUUCAAAACCCAUCCUCAUCAACUAGUACUUUACACAACCUAUCAAACACAGGAAUAGUCAUCCUAAUGAGAUCGAGGCUUGACCGAUCACUAUAUUUUGUAGCCUCAAACAUAAAAUCUGCCCUAGCUUUUUCACCACGCAGCAUCCUAUCUAGCAAGCUUCUUCCAGGUCCACGCAGGACUCGUGGUCGACGAAGUCUUUCCAGUGAGGUCAACAAAACUAGCAGGAUGUUCAAAACGAGCAACACUGUAACCAUCAUUCUCCUUGGCGGUACCGAUAACGUCAUCAACCUCGGCAUACCUAUUGGGUGAUAAAGAACCCACUAGUUAUGUUCAGAAACUAUAAUCUAGAUUGUAUCAUGUUAACGUUCAUGAUCAUGAAGCAUAUGAAGACAGAUAACUAUUGGAAGAAAGAUUCAGAGAGGAGCAGCAUUGACAGAGGUUAAGGCGACAGCAAUGACAGAUGAAAGCCUAGAAAUUUCCACAACCCAAUUCAUUCCAAUUAAAAAAAUGCCUUACACCUAACUGUCAGUUGCCACAAUGUCACUCGAUUAAGCUAAAAAGCUAAAAAUUACAGGUUUAUUACCAUCCAAAGAAUACAAUCUAACGUUACUGUCCAAAGUAACAAAUUAGAUGAACACAAGGCAUGUACCUUUAAUCGAGGAAAACAGGCACUGACGAUUGAAAGAAUUCCCAAGUUGGUCUUCUCUGCAAUGUGAGAAACCAGAAAGUUGGAUCAGUAAAGCAUCUCAAAUAAAUCAGAAAGUUCUCUGGUUUCAACAUGAAGACAAUAUUAUUCGAUUUGGAGUCCCAAAAAAAGUCAAGCAGACAUUUUCCCAAUUCUAUAGAAAGGAGACCUCGUCGUAGAGAAACUGAAAUGAGACGUUGUCGACGAAGAAGAUCAGCGCGGUGAAGAGUCGGAGAAAAGAAGCGUCGUGGCGGAUUCUCUCUAUUCAAUUUUUUGCUGGACUGUGUUCCC
rnacentral:lncRNA from 1 species